rnacentral:rRNA from 1 species
AUGGGGGACAACCAGGGGUUGGUAAAGGCGUUGGAGAAGCUAGCUGAGCUCAUCACUGUCAAGGCAGAGGGUGUGGCUUCCCCAGGUGCGCUUGUUCCUCAGCCUGAGGUGAUACAGAAAAUAGAACUGAUGCCAAAUGAAAUCAAGAUGGAAGGGGUCACAAACUACCUAAGCUGGUCCAGAAGGGCAUUGCUAAUAUUGAGGACAAAGGGGCUGGAAGGCUAUGUCAGAGGGGAAGUAGAUGAACCGGCGAACAGGGCAAGUGAAGAGUGGAAGAAGUGGAGUGUCAUUGACUCUCUGGUGGUGGCAUGGCUGCUGAACUCCUUGACCCCAUCCAUUGCAGCAGCCGUGGAGACUCUUCCCCAUGCAGCAGAGGUAUGGAAAACCCUGGAAACAUUGUACUCCGGGAAAGGGAACAUAAUGCUUAUGGCGCAGAUUGAGGAUAGAGUAAAUGAGCUAAAACAAGAGGAUAAGUCGGUGAUGGAGUAUGUAGCAGAAUUGCAGCAUUUGUGGGCUGACUUAGACCACUAUGAUCCACUGGAGUUACCACAUUCAGAAUGUAUAGUUGCUACUAAGAAGUGGGUAGAGCGUAGGAGAGUGAUGAAAUUCUUGAAGGGACUUAGCUCAGAAUUUGAAGGAAGGCGUGCUGGGUUGUUUCAUCAGCCAAAGCUCCCCUCGCUUGAGGAGGCAGUUGCAGCAAUGGCACAGGAGGAGGUCAGGUUGAAGUUGACCAGGACUCGAGAAGCGAAUGCAUCUCGCUCAGCAUUUACUGUGUCUGAAUGGAAGGAGACAAGAGAGUGCUUCAACUGUGGAGAGAAAGGUCACAUAAGCAUCAAUUGCACAGCACAACGCAGAGAAAUACGUGGUAGGGGAAGAGGUUACAGCCGAGGUGGAUACCGGGGAGUUAGAGGUAGAGGUAACUCGAGGGGUUCGAAUUAUUCCAGUGGCUUCAAAGCAAACUUGGCUAACUUGGCAACGCAAGAAGAAGGGACGUCAACAACCUCUCAAGGGGAGUCGAAGAGUAGAAGCCAGGAGGACAACACCUUCGGGAACUUUGCCCACUUUGUCUACACAGGGGAAGGAGAGGAUGACUGGAAGGAAACUUGGGACAGGAACCAGGCGUAG